rnacentral:rRNA from 1 species
UACGUAGGGUGCGAGCGUUGUCCGGAAUUAUUGGGCGUAAAGGGCUCGUAGGCGGUCUGUCGCGUCGGGAGUGAAAACUUACGAGCUUAACCUGUGAGCGUGCUUCCGAUACGGGCAGACUUGAGGUAUUCAGGGGAGAACGGAAGUUCCUGGUGGUAGCGGUGAAAUGACGCAGAUAUCAGGAGGAACACCGGUGGCGAAGGCGGUUCUCUGGGAAUAUCCUGACGCUGAGGAGCGAAAGUGUGGGGAGCGAACAGG